AAAUCUAAAUCACAUCUGGCCAGCAGUGAUUCUGUGAUUGAGUUUUGCACAAAUGGCCAGGGUAGAGUUGUUCAUAGAAACACAAAGGAUGCAUCCUGUACAUUCCUUCAUUUUCUUUCUGCAUGCAAUCCGAGUUAAUAUGCCACUUUGUCACAGAGCAACAUAAUCAGCAGACAACAAUCACAAAAAAAAAAAAUAGAUAAAGAAAUAUAUAUAGAUUCCCUUGUUUAUCCAAAGCAAAUUAUUAGCAAGCCAGGCUUAGCAGUGUUAGAGAAGCAGAUAGUAGUACAAUCAUCACUGAUCAGACACAGAGCAAAAAAGGCAGAGCAAACACACACACACACACACACACACGGUUUCAAUGUCAGCCAAAAUGAAACACUGUGAGAAAGAGAGAGGCUGCUAAAUAUGAGGAGUGGAUAGAGUGUCAGUAAUCAGGAAUUUUACAGGACUGUUAGGAAACAACCUUACAAGUCAGACAAGGCCAACUAGCAGUAGUGCCAAAUAAAACACAUAACUAGAGCCGCUAUGAUGUCAUGAUUAGUAAUAGUGCAUGAUUAGGUGGUAACUUCAUUUCUGACUUUUCCAAAAUACUGAUAAAAUGAAAAUGCAUUUCUGUCUAUCACGGUCUACUUUUCUCAUUCCUUUCGUGUCUGGCUGUGACUCCGUCAAAAUCAUACUCCAGCAACCUCCAUUUCUCCAUGCAGGGGAUGCAGAAUACACUGAAAACAGUUUGGCUGUGCAAUCCUCUACUGUUUGAAACAGGUUACUUUGCUACUUGCGCAGAUACGGAUAAACAUGCCAUCGCUGACCAUCCAUCCGUUUUCCAUGCACAGGGUCGUCGGGAGCCUGAAGGCUAUCCCAGUAGACUUAGGGCACAAGGCGGGACACGCCCAACACAUCACAGGGCACAACCGCACAUGCAUCUGGCAACGCCAAUCAGCCUACGACACGUCUUUGGACUGGAGUACCUGGAGGAGAACCCUGAAGCACGGGGAGAACGUGCAAAAGGGCAGAGGCAGGACUCGAACUCCCAAACCCAGAGGUGCAAGGCACUGACCAUAACCAGCUAUUUUUAGUUAGACAGCACUGGCAUGCUAGGUGGAUGUGCUUUUUGGGGGGGCUCAGCACACCAACUUUCCUCACAGACAUUCUCAACAUUAUAAAUACUGACAGUGCAAGAGACUUUCAAGCAGGAAAUUGUUCUCAGAAAUAUCUUUCUAAACAAAAAGAACAGCUUGUGUGCAUGUUUCACACGGUAUGUUUAGACUAGGUUAUCAUAGUGUGAAAAUUUCAAAUCAACACCUCCUGCUGAAAAACGCAGCUCGCUCGGACCAGCCAAAACACACCGAGCGGAUAGACCAUUUCAACCAGCUGGAGUUCAGAAACUGUUUCCAUCCACCACCUGGCAAAAGACCACCAGUCGGCCAGCUCGGCUUGUGUUUUGGCAGCUGGAAGGUGGAUUUUUUCAGCAGGGUUCCCUACAUAUAACUGCAAAUAACAGAGCUGAAGCAAAUCCUAAAAUGUCUAAAACUGGAGAGUGCUUCAGCUUGGUGUGUGAAGCAUGUCUCUGCUGAAACGUGUGGAAUGGAGGCCCUGUGGUGGUGUGGUAUCUUCCAGCUGUCCUGCAGCUCCUCACCACUGUUUAGAGAUAAACUGCCUAAUAUUUCUUGGAAGAGUUGUCUCUGUGUGUGUGUGUGUGUGUGUGUGUGUGUGUGUGUACACAGGCUUUCUACCACAAGACAGGCCAGGGGAGAACACCUUGUUCACCAACCACACCUUAUUCACCAAGACAAAACUGAACAGAGCUUCACUACGGACAAAAGACCUUAACAUAUUACACACGAAUUAUUACACAACAACGUGACCAUUUUUUUUCUCAUAUCAGAAAGAAGAGGAGUCAAAAAAAAAAAAAAAAAAAGGACGAGUCCUAUACUUUUCAGACUAUUUCUUUCAUCCGUAUCAACGUAGCACGAAUUGUCAGCGUCGUGUCACUCGUAUUUAGCUAUCUCCAGUUUAUUUACUCGAAGAACUGCUGGCGAGAUGCAUCCAUUUACAGUUAACUAGCCGUCUAACAAACAAAUACCGACCAGUCGUGUUGGAAAAGACUGCUAGUUAACGUGCCCCUGAUACCGGCCUGUCUGCACAGCAGCUAGCUAGCGUUACUAAGCAAAACACGCUUGGCAGGAACAUAAACACUAACUUGCUCCAGACAUUUUCACCGCUUUAUACAAAGGAGUCAGGGACCUGUCUGUAGGAUUAAUUAAAAAAAAAUAAAAUAAAAACCCGCUCGUUAGUCUUAAUUUACAGCAAGGACUUGGCUCUCCAGAUAAAAACAGACAAUAAAAGAAUUAGGUUAGCUAGUGAUAACGAACAGCAAAAACAAGCAGCUUGGACACUAUACCUGGCUAAGCUAAUGUGCCACGGUGUUAGCUAGCUAGGCGGCUUGUUUACUAACAUUAACGAGUGUUAAUGGAAGAAGCAGUAACGCUCAUUUGCGUUGUGUUAUGUAGGUUAACUUUGUUGUUGUGUCAGAAAUGCACACUGAUCAUGUAUGAAACUGAUCAGCUUAACACCGAGAAUGGAAAGCUGGUAACAUGAUAGAGGAGAAUCUGAAAUGUGUUUACCGGAUUAUCAGGAACAAUAGCUGCGAGUCCACUCGUCCUGCUGAACUGGAAAGAAAGAAAAACAACUCCGGUGGUGUUUCAGUCAUCAAUCCGAUCUGGGUUACUUUCACUCCAGAAAAUCGCCUCCCUUCUUGG